UACGUAGGGUGCGAGCGUUGUCCGGAAUUAUUGGGCGUAAAGAGCUUGUAGGUUGUUUGUCGCGUCUGCUGUGAAAAUCCGAGGCUCAACCUCGGACUUGCAGUGGGUACGGGCAGACUAGAGUGUGGUAGGGGAGACUGGAAUUCCUGGUGUAGCGGUGGAAUGCGCAGAUAUCAGGAGGAACACCGAUGGCGAAGGCAGGUCUCUGGGCCAUUACUGACACUGAGAAGCGAAAGCAUGGGGAGCGAACAGG
rnacentral:rRNA from 1 species